CUAUACGAUAUGGCAGAAAGAG
rnacentral:ncRNA from 1 species